UGACGAACGUGGCAUUAUCCUCACGGGAAAAAAAGCAGCAACUCCAGAACUUGAGAGCGAAGAGCUUGAGAGCAGCACGGAGUUUCCGAUACAGUUCCUCUAAUUCUGCAUGCAAUCUUUAGAAGUUUCUCCUCCUGAUCCUCCUUUUGCAAUCGGAAUGCCCAGCCGUGCCAGAAAGCUGCCGGCGUCCCGCCGCGACACGCAAC
rnacentral:lncRNA from 1 species